UACGAAGGGUGCAAGCGUUACUCGGAAUUACUGGGCGUAAAGGGUGCGUAGGUGGUUGUUUAAGUCUGCUGUGAAAGCCCCGGGCUCAACCUGGGAAUGGCAGUGGAUACUGGACAGCUAGAGUGCGGUAGAGGGUAGUGGAAUUCCCGGUGUAGCAGUGAAAUGCGUAGAGAUCGGGAGGAACACCAGUGGCGAAGGCGGCUACCUGGACCAGCACUGACACUCAAGCACGAAAGCGUGGGGAGCAAACAGG
rnacentral:rRNA from 1 species